rnacentral:lncRNA from 1 species
AAAUUUACAAAAAUAAACACAUUCUUGUUAAUAAAAGCACAAAAUAGAGUUUUCUCGGUUUAAAUUGCUCACAAUGUUAAUUAUCCCAUUGUGUGAACCAAUUUGUUUCACAACUGUCCUUUUUUUUUUUUAUAGCAAAAAUUUUAUGGUUUGUUGGAAAAUGGGCAUUGCCUUGUUGAUGGACGCACCAAGGUUAACUAGUGGAGUGGAAAUUCAUGAAAAUGAAGUAGCAACAUCAAUGGCUCCUUUUACUUUGGAUGCAUGCAUGUGCAGUGCUACCCACUCUCUAAAAUGUACUGAUGAACCAAUUCAAUUUCAUACCUUCUUUGGAUUUGGAAAGAAGCUUCUCCUUUCCGUACUGCUAAAAGCUCGAGGUCAAGUUAUUUGACAGGGUUAUUGAUUUGGACUUGUGUCAAAUGUUAUUUCAAUAAAUGAUCAACUACAUCAUUAUAAUACAAUGAAUCUUUGUAGAAUUCAUUAUACAUUAUAUUAUGAUGAUCCGAAUUGUCUAUUCAUUAAGUAUUUUUUCAUAUUAGUUCAUGACGUGUGUGGUACUCUUUUUUCUUCUGGGAUUUGUC